GAUUAGACGUUGAUCCUGGCUCAGAGCUGAACGCUGGCUGUGUAGCCUAACACAUGCAAGUCGAACGGCAGCACAGGAGAGCUUGCUCUCUGGGUGGCGAGUGGCGGACGGGUGAGGAAUACAUCGGAAUCUACUUUUUCGUGGGGGAUAACGUAGGGAAACUUACGCUAAUACCGCAUACGACCUACGGGUGAAAGCAGGGGAUCUUCGGACCUUGCGCGAUUGAAUGAGCCGAUGUCGGAUUAGCUAGUUGGCGGGGUAAAGGCCCACCAAGGCGACGAUCCGUAGCUGGUCUGAGAGGAUGAUCAGCCACACUGGAACUGAGACACGGUCCAGACUCCUACGGGAGGCAGCAGUGGGGAAUAUUGGACAAUUGGGGCGCAAGCCCUGAUCCAGCCAUACCGCG
rnacentral:rRNA from 1 species